rnacentral:rRNA from 1 species
AUUGAACGCUGGCGGCAUGCCUUACACAUGCAAGUCGAACGGCAGCACGGGUGCCUGCACCUGGUGGCGAGUGGCGAACGGGUGAGUAAUAUAUCGGAACGUACCUUAUUGUGGGGGAUAACGCAGCGAAAGCUGUGCUAAUACCGCAUAAUCCCUAAGGGGGAAGGCGGGGGACCGUAAGGCCUCGCGCAAUUAGAGCGGCCGAUACCUGAUUAGCUAGUUGGUGAGGUAAAGGCUCACCAAGGCAACGAUCAGUAGCUGGUCUGAGAGGACGAUCAGCCACACUGGGACUGAGACACGGCCCAGACUCCUACGGGAGGCAGCAGUGGGGAAUUUUGGACAAUGGGGGCAACCCUGAUCCAGCAAUGCCGCGUGAGUGAAGAAGGCCUUCGGGUUGUAAAGCUCUUUUGUCAGGGAAGAAACAGCAGCUCUAACACAGUAUGCGAAUGACGGUACCUGAAGAAUAAGCACCGGCUAACUACGUGCCAGCCGCCGCAGUAA